GACGAACGCUGGCGGCGUGCUUAACACAUGCAAGUCGAACGAUGAAGAAGAGAAACGCGAACUUCGGUUCAAAUUUCACUUCGGAUUAGUGGCAGACGGGUGAGUAACGCGUGAGCAACCUACCUCUUACAAAGGGAUAGCCUCGGGAAACCGUGAUUAAUACCAUAUGACACAUUCAUAAGGCAUCUUAAGAAUGUUAAAGCUACGGCGGUAAGAGAUGGGCUCGCGUCCCAUUAGCUAGUUGGGGAGGUAACGGCCCACCAAGGCGACGAUGGGUAACCGGCCUGAGAGGGUGAACGGUCACAUUGGAACUGAGACACGGUCCAAACUCCUACGGGAGGCAGCAGUGGGGAAUAUUGCACAAUGGAGGGAACUCUGAUGCAGCGACGCCGCGUGAGCGAUGAAGGAAUUCGUUUCGUAAAGCUCUGUUCUAUGGGAAGAAAAGGACUGUACCAUAGGAGAAAGCCCCGGCUAAAUACGUG
rnacentral:rRNA from 1 species